UUUUUUUGUUUUUGUAUAUUUGCUUUGUUUGGUUCUUACACAUAAUGAAUAUUCAAGAAAUUCAUUCCAUUAAUAAAUAUGUGGCACAUACUAUUAGCCAUGGAUUUUUCUAGGUAUAUCAGAAAAUUCAUAUUUAUCUAUUUAUUUAUUUUUAAAGAUUUUAUUUAUUUAUUCAUGAGAGACACACAGAGAGAGGCAGAGACACAGGCAGAGGGAUAAGCAAGCUCCCCACAGGAAGUCUGACAUGGGACUCGGUCCCAAGAACCUUAGAUCACGCUUUGAGCCAAAGGCAGACGUUCAACCACUGAACCACCCUCAAAAAACUCAUAUUUGACAAGAAAAGACAAAUAACCUUAAAAAAUGAUGCAAUAAACUGAUGGAGAUACUAUAGCAAAAUAUCAUUAGUAAUGAUAUUCUUUGUGUCUGGCACUCCCCUCAGUGGUUUGCAUGUGUUAAUUCACUUAGUCCUCACAGCAAUCCCAUAAAGUAUGAUUCUAGGAAAAGAAUACAAUGCAUCCUAAGGAAAAAUUAUUCCUUUGUUUAGCUAUAAUUUUUAAUGAGGCCUUUGGUUAUGUAAUGCAAGACCACAGGCCAAUCUGGGGUAAAGAGGACAAAACAAAGGUAGCGAAAGUGAAAGAUGAUGUAAAAGGUUGUGUUCUUUGGAGGUUGAUGUUUUGAUAACCAAUUUUGUUGUCUCCUGUGCAUGAGUUGGGGGGGACAGAAUACAUAGAUAUAUGGUAAAUGUCUUAAAAAUCAAUAAAAUCUUAGCCCAAAGACUAAUUCUCUAAGGGUGAUGUUUUAGACACUGGGAACAGGGAUGGAGAUAUUGGGGUAAGGGGUAAGGGAUCUUCAAAUCACCUCUUCAAAUCAGAGUGCCUAAGACAAUCAGCCUGCUUUACCUUUAAGGUGGUCCUCCUGUCAUUUUCCAAAACUAUGGAAAACAUUUCCUUCAUGUGGCACUUCAAGCAGAAAAUUAAGAAAGUUUGUCUUAAAAUCUGAAAUAGUUGUUGGAAAGUCAUAUUUUAAUACUAUUAAUACAUGGAAUAUUUCUUAGAUUCCCUAUCCUGAACUUAUUUCUCAACAGAUUCAUGACUGGUGUUUGAAUUAUUCACCUCUAUUUACACUGAGCAAUUAAUUCUCCCCAGUGUGAUCUGACCAUCUCUGAAAGGCUAUAUUAUCAGGCAAGAAAAAAAAUCCAUAAUAUUGGGCAGCUAAAAUGAUUUUGUAAUUAGCAUGACAUGGUUUUCUAUAAUGUCACAUUAACUCUGAGCAUGAAAAAAGACUGAAUAAUCGAGCUUGAUAUGUUAAGUAGACCCGUUUCCAGCACAUGUGAAGGAAACCAUGCAUUAUCCACCAUGUUGCAUAUAUCACAAUGCCUACUGUCAUCAGAAAUACAAGGCUAGGAAUCUUUGAAUAAUAGGAAUCCUAGGAAAUCACUAGUGUGGUAGAUUGUAGCGAUGUAGCGAUGGCCCCAGUUCUUCACUUCUCCCUCUAUCUACAUGUAAUUAGUAGUUCUACCCUUAAAGGAAGUAGAAUACAUUUCCUUCCCUCUGACUUAAGGUUUCGUCUCCGUGGGUUGCUUUGGUCAACAUAACAAAGCAGUGGUGAUAGUCACAUCAGGCUUAGACUAGGCAAUAAGAGGCCUUGUUUGGUUGUGCUUGUUUUCUUGACCUCUGCUGUCUCCAUGAGAAAAGCAUGCUCCACCUGCAGGUCCCAGGAGGAAGAUGAAAGACUUGUGGAUGAGAGCCACAGCAGGCAGCCAUGCUAACCAGGCUCCUUCUAGGUGAGGCAAAUCUAUCCCCUCUGCAGGCGCAGUGUGAGAAAUAAAUGUUUAUUGUUGAAAGCCAGGGACAGUUUGUGUUAUUAUGCAGCAAUACUGUGGCCAUGGUUGACUAAUACCAGGGGGCAUCUGUUUUUUGUUUCAAGAUGACUUCAAAUGCAAACUUGAAAGUCAGCAAAUAAUGAUAACUGAGUUUCACCUUGAACUGUACCAAAAAUUGGAUAACCAGAAACAAGGAAACCAGAAACAAAGACUAAGAAAAAUACAGGGCUCCUUGAAUUGGCUUUCAUUUCAAAGAUGAUAACAGAGAAGAAUCCAGUUCUCUCAGUGAAACUCAGGGACUACUGCUUGACACUUUUAAUUAAAAAGACAUUAAAAAAUUAACACAGAACUCUUCCCACUUUGCUCCAGGGCAGCUCAUGAAAGAUUGCCUCUUCGCUAUCAGAAUGCAUAAUAUCUAUGUCCAGGCCCAUCUGCUUCCCCUUCUACAGGAAAGAUUGUGAAUGUCAGUGCCUCCAGUGAGAAACUGUCCUGUCGAGGCUUAAUUUCCUCAGCACUGAUAACAUAAAAGCAAUCUGGCAGCAUAAAUUAGUGGAUGAUUCCAAAGCACACAUUUUUGAUCUUCUGCCAUAAGCCUGACAGAAAUCAUAACAGUCAAACUAUUUUUCACUACCAAGAACAGAAAGACCUAUUUGAAAAAGCGCACUCCUGUUUUAUCUUCUAAAAAAAAACACCUGUGAGAUGCUGGGGGGUGGGGGUGGGGGCGUAACUUCUAGGACGGUGCUUCUAAAACACUAAUCUCCAUACAAAUCACAGCCAGAGCAUGUUUAGAGUAGAUUCUGAUGCAGUAGGGAGUGGAGGGAGUUCCAAGAUGCUGAAUUCUAAAAAGCUCCUGUAGGCGGCUAAUGCUGCUGGUCCAGAUACCUCAAAGGGAUCGUUCUUCAUCCAUGAGCAAUCUCUGUGCGAUGAGGUUACCCUG
rnacentral:lncRNA from 1 species